UACGUAGGGGGCAAGCGUUGUCCGGAUUUAUUGGGCGUAAAGAGCGUGUAGGCGGCCAGGGAGGUCCGUUGUGAAAACUCGAGGCUCAACCUCGAGACGCCGAUGGAAACCGCAUGGCUAGAGUCCGGAAGAGGAGAGUGGAAUUCCUGGUGUAGCGGUGAAAUGCGCAGAUAUCAGGAAGAACACCCGUGGCUAAGGCGGCUCUCUAGUACGGUACUGACGCUGAGACGCGAAAGCGUGGGGAGCGAACAGG
rnacentral:rRNA from 1 species